rnacentral:lncRNA from 1 species
AGAACCUGCAGCAGCACAUCGAUGAGUGCAACGAGAAGAAGAACAUGCUGAAGAAGACCCUGCAGAACCUGGAGUCCAAGCAGGCCAAACUGAAGUUCAACCAACCCAUCAGCACCGCCAGGUGCUGCUGGCCUCGCGCACUUGUGCCAGCCAGGACGCCACCUUAGGGGGGGACACGUCCCAAGAGGCACUGUGACCUGCACCCCACUGCAGCCACGCACUCCUCCCGCACUGGGAGGGUUUCUGAGCUCCCAGCUCUGCUGCUGGCAGGGCAGAGCACCCAAAGCUCCCACUGGGGUCCCCGAGCUCUCUUUCUCCUUGCUGGGCAUGGGAAGUGCUGCCAGCAGCAUGGACCUGGCCUGCAGUUGGGGUGGGGCAGCCUGAACAGCUUUUGGAGCAGGUUUGGGGUGUCCCUGCACCCCUGUGCACCUGUGUGAUGUGAGUGUGGCUGGCUCCAGCAUGCAGGAGGAGGAGCUGAGGGAGAAGCUGAGGCAGGAGGAGGCCCGGCUGGAGCAGAUGAGAGCCCACAUGCUGAACAACCAGAAGCGCCUGAUCGAGUUUGAGAACAUCAUUGACAACAUGUUCCUCCGCCUGCAGGGCAUCUCCAUCCCUGGCAAGGAGGACUCAGGUGAGGUGCACGGGAUGGAGGAGAAGCUGCAGCACUGUGAGCAGAAGCUGCAGUUCCUGAAGGAGCAGGCAGCAGCCCGGCCUGAGGACAGCCCUGAUGAACACAGUGAGACUUUUGCCAAGGUUAGGAACCUUCUGGAGGAAAGAACUGCAGGUGAAAAACAGAACCUGAGGAUUACCUUUGAGGAUGAGGGCGCUACAGAAGAU